GGCCAUUAACACAAAGGUGGAAAUGCAACUUAUUGUCACCCAAAGGGGGCAAGCUAGCCCAUGGCCACACAAAGGGAUGAAAGUCAACCCAUAGCCAAACCGAAGGGGCAAGUCAAUAAAUGGCCCCAAAGGGGGCAGGUCAACCCAUGGUCACAGAGGGCAAGUCAACCCAUUGCCACACAAGUUUUUGUCACUUUUUUUUUGUAUAACACUGAAUACCAAUCUGCCUUUGUUAUUCAUUAAGAAAAAUUCGUAAGGGUUCCACGGAACCCAGUGUCUCGCCUACUUUUGCUGUUAGUCGCAGGCUCAACAAAAAUGGGGAAAAAAUUAUAAAAAAUUUUCCUCUAGAUACUAUC